rnacentral:rRNA from 1 species
UACGAAGGGGGCUAGCGUUGCUCGGAAUCACUGGGCGUAAAGGGUGCGUAGGCGGGUCUUUAAGUCAGGGGUGAAGUCCUGGAGCUCAACUCCAGAACUGCCUUUGAUACUGAAGAUCUUGAGUUCGGGAGAGGUGAGUGGAACUGCGAGUGUAGAGGUGAAAUUCGUAGAUAUUCGCAAGAACACCAGUGGCGAAGGCGGCUCACUGGCCCGAUACUGACGCUGAGGCACGAAAGCGUGGGGAGCAAACAGG